GUGCUCGCUUUGGCAGCACCUACACUAAAGUUGGAACAAUACUGAGAAGAUUAGCAUGGCCCCUUUUAUUUAAAUAGAAAAAAAAAAAUGUU
rnacentral:snRNA from 1 species